rnacentral:rRNA from 1 species
UACGUAGGGUGCAAGCGUUUGUCCGGAAUUAUUGGGCGUAAAGAGCUCGUAGGCGGUCUGUCGCGUCUGCUGUGAAAACUCGGGGCUUAACCCCGGGCCUGCAGUGGGUACGGGCAGACUAGAGUGCGGUAGGGGAGACUGGAAUUCCUGGUGUAGCGGUGAAAUGCGCAGAUAUCAGGAGGAACACCGAUGGCGAAGGCAGGUCUCUGGGCCGAUACUGACGCUGAGGAGCGAAAGCGUGGGGAGCGAACAGG